rnacentral:rRNA from 1 species
GUUUCCGUAGGUGAACCUGCGGAGGAUCAUUGUCGAUGCCUGCUCAGCAGAACGACCCGCGAACAAGUGAAAACACCAACUCACGCCGGGGAACAGGACGCCGGACAGCCUCACCGCUGCCCCCGACCUGCGCCCCCAGCACAACACAAAAAAUCCGGCGCAAUUGGCGCCAAGGAAUACUUACCGGAAACAACGGGUCGACACGUCGACGCCGUGGAUCCGAAUACUCAAACGACUCUCGGCAACGGAUAUCUCGGCUCUUGCAUCGAUGAAGAACGUAGCGAAAUGCGAUACUUGGUGUGAAUUGCAGAAUCCCGUGAACCAUCGAGUCUUUGAACGCAAGUUGCGCCCGAAACCUUUUUGGUCGAGGGCACGUCUGCCUGGGCGUCACACACAGCGUCGCCCCCACCAAAGCAUUUGGAUGAGGGCGGAAAUUGGCCCCCCGAGCCCUCCGGGGCACGGUCGGCACAAAUGUUGGCCCUCGGCGGCGAGCGUCGCGGUCAGCGGUGGUUGUACUCUCAUCCUCCAAAGACAAAAUGACGCGUCCGCCUCGUCGCCCGCUGGGCGAAGAUGACCCAAGGAGUCUCCCCUACCGGAGACUUCCACCUGCGAC